rnacentral:rRNA from 1 species
CGGACGGGUGGGUAAUGUCUGGGAAACUGCCUGAUGGAGGGGGGUAACUACUGGAAACGGUAGCUAAUACCGCAUAACGUCGCAAGACCAAAGAGGGGGACCUUAGGGCCUCUUGCCAUCGGAUGUGCCCAGAUGGGAUUAGCUAGUAGGUGGGGUAACGGCUCACCUAGGCGACGAUCCCUAGCUGGUCUGAGAGGAUGACCAGCCACACUGGAACUGAGACACGGUCCAG